GCCUGGGUGGCUCAGUCGGUUGGGCGUCUGACUUCGGCUCAGGUCAUGAUCUUGCAGUCCGUGGGUUCGAGCCCCGCAUCGGGCU
rnacentral:tRNA from 1 species